rnacentral:rRNA from 1 species
GAUGAACGCUAGCGGCAGGCCUAAUACAUGCUAGUCGAACGGUGUCUUCGGACAUAGUGGCGCACGGGUGCGUAACACGUAUGCAACCUACCUUACAUUGGGGGAUAGCCUUUCGAAAGGGAGAUUAAUACCGCAUAAGACAGUAGCUGGGCAUCCAGCAGCUGUUAAAGAUUUAUCGAUGUAAGCUGGGCAUGCGUCCAAUUAGCUAGUUGGUGAGGUAACGGCUCACCAAGGCAAUGAUUGGUAGGGGAACUGAGAGGUCAAUCCCCCACACUGGCACUGAGAUACGGGCCAGACUCCUACGGGAGGCAGCAGUAGGGAAUAUUGGGCAAUGGACGCAAGUCUGACCCAGCCAUGCCGCGUGCAGGAUGAAGGCGUUAUGCGUUGUAAACUGCUUUUAUACAGGAAGAAACUACUCUUGCGAGAGGCAUUGACGGUACUGUAUGAAUAAGCACCGGCUAACUCCGUGCCAGCCGCCGCUGUAA